UCGAACGAGUUCUCGUUGAUGAUCGGUGCUUGCACCGAGAUUCAACAUGGGAACGAGUGGCGGACGGGUGAGUAACACGUGGGUAACCUGCCCUUAAGUGGGGGAUAACAUUUGGAAACAGAUGCUAAUACCGCAUAGAUCCAAGAACCGCAUGGUUCUUGGCUGAAAGAUGGCGUAAGCUAUCGCUUUUGGAUGGACCCGCGGCGUAUUAGCUAGUUGGUGAGGUAAUGGCUCACCAAGGCGAUGAUACGUAGCCGAACUGAGAGGUUGAUCGGCCACAUUGGGACUGAGACACGGCCCAAACUCCUACGGGAGGCAGCAGUAGGGAAUCUUCCACAAUGGACGCAAGUCUGAUGGAGCAACGCCGCGUGAGUGAAGAAGGCUUUCGGGUCGUAAAACUCUGUUGUUGGAGAAGAAUGGUCGGCAGAGUAACUGUUGCCGGCGUGACGGUAUCCAACCAGAAAGCCACGGCUAACUACGUGCCAGCAGCCGCGGUAAUACGUAGGUGGCAAGCGUUAUCCGGAUUUAUUGGGCGUAAAGCGAGCGCAGGCGGUUUUUUAAGUCUGAUGUGAAAGCCCUCGGCUUAACCGAGGAAGCGCAUCGGAAACUGGGAAACUUGAGUGCAGAAGAGGACAGUGGAACUCCAUGUGUAGCGGUGAAAUGCGUAGAUAUAUGGAAGAACACCAGUGGCGAAGGCGGCCUGUCUGGUCUGUAACUGAC
rnacentral:rRNA from 1 species